AGAAGGGAAUGGUAAGAAAUCGGGCUGCUAACCUUGAUUUCGGGUAGUUCAAUUCUAUCCCCCUUCUU
rnacentral:tRNA from 1 species